GACAGAGGGUGCAAACGUUGCUCGGAAUCACUGGGCGUAAAGGGCGUGUAGGCGGGUAGGCAAGUCGGGCGUGAAAUCCCUGAGCUCAACUCAGGAACUGCACUCGAAACUGCUUAUCUUGAGUGCCGGAGAGGAAAGCGGAAUACCUGGUGUAGAGGUGAAAUUCGUAGAUAUUCGCAAGACACCAGUGGCGAAGGCGGCUCACUGGCCCGAUACUGACGCUGAGGCACGAAGCGUGGGA
rnacentral:rRNA from 1 species